UAUAGAUCAUAUAUGUACGUAUGUGUGUACACAGGCAUCUAACAUUUAAAUAGCGCGCCGUGAAUGUCGAUAUCUCGAAACUGUCGUUGCUCGUACUUCAUAAUUAAAGUUUUGAGUCAUGCAACGGUUAAUAAUUCGUUGCUACAACUUGUGAUGUAGUUUUGUUUCAAGUAAUGAAGGAGAUACAGUAAGAGGAUCAUCACAAAAAGAACUACACAAAUUAUAAAAAAAAUUUUUUAUUCUCAUUUUUGCACAAGUCCUGCAUUGCGAAGAACGUUAUAUACUUUCUCUCGUGGGAUUUUAUCCGUUUCACGAUCAAUUACCUACGACAAAAAAAAGAAGUACUGUACAUGCACUGACUUAUUACUUACAGAGUAUAUCAGAUAUGUAUAUUGUGGUAUGUACGAAUUCAUAAGGAAAUGUGAUAUGCAGCGAAAGGUAUUCUCAGAUUUCAGAACUAAAUCCAACAACCUCGUUUCAAAAUCGACCUACCACCACGUUUCCCAUUUUAAUUUCAUUCAUAUUUUCAUAGAGGAAAAUAUAUUACAGAAGAGGAACGUUAAAAUUAACGGGGAAUUUUUUUUACCUGCGUCUCUUUAUUCAAAAGCCAUGAUUCCUUCGCGAGUCUGGCGGCGAUUAGCGGAUUUUUAUAAAAGUCAUUUCGCAAUUCAUUCGGCAGGGUGUCUUCGACUGCCGAGUUCAGUACAUUCGCCGGAUGUUGAUACAAGAAUCCUGAGGGAAUGUAAUACUGUGGAACGGCCGCGCAUAAUCCCACCGCUAUCGUGAACGUGAUUAUUGUAUUCAUGUUCACGUAAAAUUCUGCAAAAGAACAGGCUCCAACCAAUUUAAGGUAAUACAUAUAUUUCAAAACUAAACAACACAUCGAUUGGUAUCAUUUUCUCUUAGAAUGAUCUUGAAAGAUGAAAACAUGAAUUAUCUACAUCAACUAUUCUUAUCCUAACUAUUCUUAUCCUUUUUUACAUUGACAAGAGUAAGCAAGAUAUUGGUAUAAGAAACAUUUAAAUCUUUUACAUAGAUCUACAAUCUACAACAGAGAUAAUCAGAUAACAGAGAGCAUCAAGAAAUUAGGAUCGCAAAUUGUCAAACAAUUUAAUGAUAAUACUCAUAAGCUGGUGAGAUUGUCUUCUGAUAAACUGG